GCCUUCGUGGUGUAGUGGUCUGCAUCUCGACGCGUAACCGAGAGGUCCGUGGUUCGAUUCCCGGCGAAGGCG
rnacentral:tRNA from 1 species